GGGCUUACACAGAUCGGCAUAUUU
rnacentral:siRNA from 1 species